CGGCGAUUUAGGAACGUCCAAUUGCGUCCUAAUUCACUGCGAUCAAGCCAUCAUUGCCGUGUGAUAGAUGAUUAAAACGCUGUGCCGGACAUAGGCGUCGUUGCAACGAAGGGAUUGCGCCCUUUGGACUUCAGACAACCCCGUGAACGACGUGAAUCAAAUCUUGGACGAAGCCAAGAAAAAGGGCAUCAACGGGACUCUGCAUUUACGAGGCUACGGCCGCGGUUCGAAUUCAACGGAGCUUAGCAAUGCGGAAUCGCCGCCGCAGACGGGGUUCAUCCAAGCGCCUGAAGGCGGCACACUGCUCAUUCCUUGCAACAACACCCGCAACGCCACCAAU